rnacentral:rRNA from 1 species
GAGUUUGAUCGUGGCUCAGAACGAACGCUGGCGGCGUGCCUAACACAUGCAAGUCGAACGAGAAAGGGGCUUCGGCCCCGAGUAAAGUGGCGCACGGGUGAGUAACACGUAGGCAACCUGCCUCUAAGAUCGGGAUAACCCGUCGAAAGAUGGGCUAAUACCAAAUAAGACCACGGGUUCUUCGGAACCUGAGGUCAAAGGUAGCCUCUAUUUAUAAGCUAUCGCUUAGAGAUGGGCCUGCGCACCAUUAGCUAGUUGGUAGGGUAACGGCCUACCAAGGCAAAGAUGGUUAGCUGGUCUGAGAGGAUGAUCAGCCACACUGGAACUGAGACACGGCCCAGACUCCUACGGGAGGCAGCAGUGGGGAAUAUUGCACAAUGGGCGAAAGCCUGAUGCAGCGACGCCGCGUGAGGGAUGACGGCC